CCUACGGGCGGCAGCAGUGGGGAAUAUUGGACAAUGGGCGAAAGCCUGAUCCAGCCAUGCCGCGUGUGUGAAGAAGGCCUUCGGGUUGUAAAGCACUUUCAGUGGGGAAGAAAGCCUUGGGGCUAAUACCCUCGAGGAAGGACAUCACCCACAGAAGAAGCACCGGCUAACUCCGUGCCAGCAGCCGCGGUAAUACGGAGGGUGCGAGCGUUAAUCGGAAUUACUGGGCGUAAAGCGCGCGUAGGCGGUCUGAUAAGCCGGUUGUGAAAGCCCCGGGCUCAACCUGGGAACGGCAUCCGGAACUGUCAGGCUAGAGUGCAGGGGAGGAAGGUAGAAUUCCCGGUGUAGCGGUGAAAUGCGUAGAGAUCGGGAGGAAUACCAGUGGCGAAGGCGGCCUUCUGGACUGACACUGACGCUGAGGUGCGAAAGCGUGGGUAGCAAACAGGAUUAGAUACCCGGGUAGUC
rnacentral:rRNA from 1 species